rnacentral:lncRNA from 13 species
CACACAAUGGUUGAUACUGUGUUCUAAAAGUUUAAAUACUGUUAUUUCUUGGAAUGGGAGAAAGGAGCCAUGUAAACUCUUUUCCUUUACUUUUAUCUGUGAUUAGGGAGAUGGAGUUUUGGGACCCUUGCUUCAGGUGGUGACCCAUUUAUGUGGUACUGCUUGGCCAAGUUAUUUCACUGCUGUUUGCCUUCAUUUUCUCACUGGUGAAACAGAAAUGAUGAUGCUUUACAAAAAUCUCAGAAACUUGAGAAACAAUGUAUUUGUUAGAAAUCCAUUGGUCUGUGUUUGGGCAAGGCUCCUGUUAAUGUCCAUUAGGCUCCAGAGCAGUCCUUAAAAUUGUCAAGUAUUUUUAUGUUUUUUUCUUUGCCAGGAGCAGCCUGUUCUGCUUCUGAAAUUGUAAGUAAGUCAUGAACCUAAAUGGCCAGGACUGAGAGCAAGCCUUGCUCUACCCUGAGCAAGAGGACCUUCUUUGAUGGGUUUCUUCCUCCUGGAAGGAGGCGAUGAGGGGAUGAGGAGAGCACAGAAGUGUUAAAGUGCCUGAAAUGCUAAACUGAGAUUUUGGGGAAUGGAUGAGGAAACUCCUUGAUCUUCAUGCAACUGCUCUGUGAUGCUGCCAUUAAACAACACAAAGUGAUGCUAUGCAGCCAGCUGGGCAAUCCAUUGCAGGAACAAGGCUCCCUCCUCUUGAAUCACCUUCAACUGAAAACAUGGUAAGAGGAACUUCAGCACCUGGGUGAGCAAUAAUCACUGUAGGAUCACCCAGGGAGUGUGAUGGAGACACACCAGCAUGCACAAGUUGCCUGUGAUGAGCAGCAAUUCAGAAGAGGCUCUUUACACAUCCAACAAGCUCCCUGAUGCUUGGGGUGGUGGUCGAUGCUUGCCCCAGAGCAAGGCAGAGCAGCCUGGGACUACCCUAGCUUGUAGCAGGCUGACUUGGGAAAGGCAGAUGUUUAACACUCAGAUACUGCUCUCAUGGAUGGGGUUCAUCUGGUCCCUGCUGAAAACAAGAGGAUUCUGCUUAAUUUGUGAAAAUGUGAGAUUAAAAUCACAGGAGGAGGUGUGGAAGGAGUAUUGCUCAAACUUCAGAAGAGUCUGCUUUAUAUACUUCCAGCAGAAAUGCCACAUUUCUGGUUUCUUUCACCAGCUGAAGGUGAACAGAUUUGAAGAAGUCUUUCAAACACUGUGGUGUUUUGUGCAGCUGUUCAGAGCAUGUAAAAAUAGCUACCAUGCCAUCCUGGUUGUGUUGUACAUCACUUCUGUCGCAUCGGUGUAAUGAACUGAUCAAAGCACCAACUGGUGGAGAGGUUGGGGAUCAAACUGAGUUUUCACUGCGAGAUGGGGAAAAAAAUCACACUUGCUUUGGUGUCCAGAAGAAAGGCAGGUGUCAAGAGGUGCAAUGCUUCAUUUUAAAGUCACACUAGUCACAUGCAGCCUUUUCCCCACUGCACAGAAGUAGGCGAUACACCAGGGCAAGCUUGACAAUUCACCUCCAUGAGUGGAUUUUGUUUGUUCACUCCUACAAGCAAGUUCCAUGUCCCCAGAGAGUCCGCCCUGCUGCAGCUGAAACCC